rnacentral:rRNA from 1 species
GACGAACGCUGGCGGCGUGCUUAACACAUGCAAGUCGAACGGAAAGGCCCUGCUUUUGUGGGGUGCUCGAGUGGCGAACGGGUGAGUAACACGUGAGUAACCUGCCCUUGACUUUGGGAUAACUUCAGGAAACUGGGGCUAAUACCGGAUAGGAGCUCCUGCUGCAUGGUGGGGGUUGGAAAGUUUCGGCGGUUGGGGAUGGACUCGCGGCUUAUCAGCUUGUUGGUGGGGUAGUGGCUUACCAAGGCUUUGACGGGUAGCCGGCCUGAGAGGGUGACCGGCCAAAAUGGGAAUGAGGAACGGGCCAGACUCCUACGGGAGGCAGCAGUGGGGAAUAUUGCACAAUGGGCGGAAGCCUGAUGCAGCAACGCCGCGUGCGGGAUGACGGCCUUCGGGUUGUAAACCGCUUUCGCCUGUGACGAAGCGUGAGUGACGGUAAUGGGUAAAGAAGCACCGGCUAACUACGUG